rnacentral:rRNA from 1 species
GCCGCACGAGCGCACCCCUAUCCUUANUUGCUAGCANGUAAUGCUGANAACUCUAAGGAGACUGCCGGUGAUAAACCGGANGAAGGUGGGGACGACGUCAAGUCAUCAUGGCCCUUACNUGUAGGGCUACACACGUGCUACAAUGGCGCAUACAGAGUGCUGCNAACCUGCGAAGGUAAGCGAAUCACUUAAAGUGCGUCGUANUCCGGAUUGGAGUCUGCAACUCGACUCCAUGAAGUCGGAAUCGCUAGUAAUCGCGUAUCANAAUGACGCGGUGAAUACGUUCCCGGGCCUUGUACACACCGCCCGUCACACCAUGGGAGUGGGUUGCUCCAGAAGUAGAUAGUCUAACCCUCGGGAGGACGUUUACCACGGAGUGAUUCAUGACUGGGGUGAAGUCGUAACAAGGUAGCCCUAGGGGAACCUGGGGCUGGAUCACCUCCUU